GAAAUGCGAUAAGUAGUGUGAAUUGCAGAAUUUUGUGAAUCAUCGAAUCUUUGAACGCAAAUUGCACUCUCUGGUAUUCCGGGGAGUAUGCCUGUUUGAGGGUCGUUAGAAAAAACAUCGAGGCAUCGCUCUUGUGAAAAUAUUUUGUAAUAUUCUUGUUCGGGUGAUUGCGUCGGAAUUGGGCCGUCUUUCACGUGUUAGCUCAUGUCAAAGUGGCUUGAAAUUCAUCAAUCUGGUACGAUUUUUAAAGCGUAUUUAAGAUCAAUCUUGGUUAAGAACGCGCGAUGACGUACCAUCUCAUGUAGUACGUUUGACCUGCUUGUCAGGCUCAUAUUCGUAUACGACACUCAACUUUUGACCUCAAAUCAGGUAAGAAUACCCGCUGAACUUAA
rnacentral:misc_RNA from 1 species